CCUACGGGUGGCAGCAGUGGGGAAUAUUGCACAAUGGGCGAAACCCUGAUGCAGCGACGCCGCGUGAGCGAGGAAGUAUUUCGGUAUGUAAAGCUCUGUCAGCAGGGAAGAAGAAUGACGGUACCUGAAGAAGAAGCACCGGCUAAAUACGUUCCAGCAGCCGCGGUAAUACGUAUGGUGCAAGCGUUAUCCGGAUUUACUGGGUGUAAAGGGAGCGGAGGCGGUUUUGGAAGUCUGAUGGGAAAGCCCGGGGCUCAACCCCGGGACUGCAUUGGAAACUGGGGGACUGGAGGGUCGGAGGGGUAAGCGGAAUGCCUGGUGUAGCGGUGAAAUGCGUAGAUAUCAGGAGGAACACCAGUGGCGAAGGCGGCUUACUGGACGAUGACUGACGCUGAGGCUCGAAAGCGUGGGGAGCAAACAGGAUUAGAUACCCUAGUAGUC
rnacentral:rRNA from 1 species